UGUUAAAACACAGAUUGCUGGACCCCACUCCCACAGUUUCUGAUUCAGGAGAUCUAGGGUGGGGUCUGAUAAUUUGUGCUUCUCACAAAUUCCCAGGUGAUGGAGGGAAGCAGUGCUGCUGGUCUGGGAAGCACACUUUGAGAACCCCCGCUGUUCCAUAAUGUUCUUUCUUCAAAGGAGGAAACAGCCAGGACUUUUGACAUGACAGAGCCGCAGGUGUGAAGCAUUGAUUUAGUAGAACCUCUGUGUGAUCAACAAACUCUUAGAUCUCUGGACCUCUGGGAAAUAAGGAAAGCCUUUUGGUAAACUGAGGUGUUGAUACUUCCUGAGUCUGUUUCAAGGCUUCUUCGAUGAGGAAAGAUGGAAUGACGAUUUUGCUCUAUCUUCAGCCCUGAGAUCCAGCUUCUGUAGCCCAAGGCAGGAGAAGACAUUGGUUUAUGGAAAAUGGAUGUUUAAGAUCAUGAAGAAGAGAGCCCUUUGCAAAUCUUCAGAAGGAAGCUGGAGGGUGAGAAGAUGAUCAUAACUCAUAGACCAAGAGGGUUCUUCUGGGCAAAGGAAACCCUGCCGGAGCCAGCCGGCGACGUGCGGCACCUGGAGUUAGGGGGCGAGGCUGAGAAAUGAAGAGACAACAAAAAGAUGGGGACGGGAGGACGGAGUCCUUGCUGACUGCCGCACCUCGUUCAUUUCAGUUGCUGUAUUUAUACAGAUAAGAACAAAGGAGAAGCAAAAUGCAAAGGAACAGGUGGUGCAUGUCUUCAUUAAACCAGAAAACAAAACAGUUCUUGUUUCUUUUAACCUUACGUCACUUUGAUAGUCCUUUCCCUCGCUUAAGCAGUUUUCUAAUCUACAACUUAACUUUUUUCUGAUAUCAAAAAAGCUACAAAUACUCAUCUAUGAUCACUCAGACAGUUCUAGGAAAGGAGCAGCACCCAAGUGUAAUUAACAAUUCCGAGAAAGGAGUGUGCAGGGCCUAGUGGGGGCUAUAAGCGACGAGGGCUGUGUGCACAGGAUUACUUCAGUGACCU